rnacentral:sRNA from 2 species
AUAUGUCCUCGUUAGGUGAGGCUCCUAUACGAACAUAGGCCACUGCCCGGAAACAUCGAAAGAUGCCAAUGGGUAUAACAGGAAUUGCCGGAUUAAGGCUUUUCAUAAGGUGGCUAAGGGAACAGUCCUUUACGUCGUAUAGUGCCAAAGCUGGACUUGGGGGAGACGG